rnacentral:rRNA from 1 species
GUGGGUAACCUGCCUUAUAGUGGGGGAUAGCCUUUCGAAAGGAAGAUUAAUACCGCAUAAGAUUGUAGUAUCGCAUGAUAUAGCAAUUAAAGGAGCAAUCCGCUAUAAGAUGGACCCGCGUCGCAUUAGCUAGUUGGUGAGGCAAUGGCUCACCAAGGCGACGAUGCGUAGCCGACCUGAGAGGGUGAUCGGCCACAUUGGGACUGAGACACGGCCCAGACUCCUACCGGGAGGCAGCAUG